UGAGAGGAUGAUCAGUCACACUGGAACUGAGACACGGUCCAGACUCCUACGGGAGGCAGCAGUGGGGAAUAUUGGACAAUGGGCGAAAGCCUGAUCCAGCCAUGCCGCGUGUGUGAAGAAGGUCUUCGGAUUGUAAAGCACUUUAAGUUGGGAGGAAGGGCAGUAAAUUAAUACUUUGCUGUUUUGACGUUACCGACAGAAUAAGCACCGGCUAACUCUGUGCCAGCAGCCGCGGUAAUACAGAGGGUGCAAGCGUUAAUCGGAAUUACUGGGCGUAAAGCGCGCGUAGGUGGUUCGUUAAGUUGGAUGUGAAAUCCCCGGGCUCAACCUGGGAACUGCAUUCAAAACUGACGAGCUAGAGUAUGGUAGAGGGUGGUGGAAUUUCCUGUGUAGCGGUGAAAUGCGUAGAUAUAGGAAGGAACACCAGUGGCGAAGGCGACCACCUGGAC
rnacentral:rRNA from 1 species